GCUGAUGAGUGGUAGAGCUAAGUAAGAGUUGAACCCAGGCAAAAUGCCAGGACAUUUCUGCGAUUCAUUGCUCUGCUGCUUCCAGUGAAUGAAUGACCUGGGUUUGUGUUGAGUUUACUGAAGCCUUUCCUGAUGGCCUCCAGUGCAGAGCCUGGCUUCUGAGGCCUGCAGACUUCUGUCAGGUACUUGAGUUAAGCCUGCCCAGGAUCCGGGCUUGCUGGUGACCUUAUUCCUCUGAAGGUUGAGCCUGGGACCUGGGAUGGCAGCUGGAUACAUGGUUACCCAAGAGGUUCCUCUCCCAUGGUCCUGAGUGCAAGGGUUAAUGAGAGGAGUUCCUGGAGCAGCAAGUUAUCAGCCCAGGCUGAGCUGGAGGAGGGCAGCGUUCCCUGGAGGAAGAAGGGCAGUCACAGCCCCCGUCUGGCGUACUGCUUGGCACACAGUGGGAGCUUACUAAACUUGCUUGAAAAACAGCCCAGCCAGAGAUUGUGUUUCAGAGAUGGAAGACAAAUCCAAGCCAGCUUUCAGGUUGUUAGUUUUUAUUCACUAUAAUAUAUUUCAUUAUAUGGAAUAUUUCCUCCAAUAAUGCUUUUGUUUGCUUUUAUUUCCUGUACCCUCUCUGUUCUUUUUUUUUUUUUUUUUUUUUUUUUUUUUUUUUUUUUUUUUUUUUUUUUUUUUUUUUUGGUUUUUCUCCGGUACCGGGAACCGAACUCACGACCUUGCACUUGCCAGGCAGGCGCUUUGCUGCUGAGCUAAAUCCCCAGCCCCUCCCUCUCUGUUCUAAAUGAGAAUUUUCUGUGCUGCUUUUGCUAUACACAUAGAUAAUGGAGAUUUAAGUAAUUCUAUCUAUUUGUCUAUUAUCUAUCUAUCUAUCUAUCUAUCUAUCUAUCUAUCUAUCUAGGGACAGGGUCUCACUAUGUUGCCCAGGGUGGCCUUGAACUCC
rnacentral:lncRNA from 1 species